UACGGAGGGUGCGAGCGUUGUUCGGAAUCACUGGGCGUAAAGGGCGUGUAGGCGGUCCGCUAAGUCUGAUGUGAAAGCCCGGGGCUCACCCCCGGAAGGGCAUUGGAAACUGGCGGACUCGAGUCCCGGAGAGGAGGGUGGAAUUCCUGGUGUAGCGGUGAAAUGCGUAGAUAUCAGGAGGAACACCGGUGGCGAAGGCGGCCCUCUGGACGGUGACUGACGCUGAUCUGCGAAAGCUAGGGGAGCAAACAGG
rnacentral:rRNA from 1 species